rnacentral:misc_RNA from 1 species
GAUGAAGAACGUAGCGAAAUGCGAUACUUGGUGUGAAUUGCAGAAUCCCGUGAACCAUCGAGUCUUUGAACGCAAGUUGCGCCCGAAGCCACUAGGCCGAGGGCACGCCUGCCUGGGCGUCACACGCCGUUGCCCCCCCAUCUACUCCUUCGGGAUUGCGGGGGGCGGAUGAUGGCCUCUCGUGCGCCUCGUCGCGCGGUUGGCCUAAAUGCCAAGUCCUCGGCGACGCACGCCACGACAAUCGGUGGUUGCGAAACCUCGGUUGCCUGUCGUGUGCGGUCGUCGCGCAUCGAGGGCUCGAAAAAAUUGCCGGGCUUCGGCUCGACUUUCAACGCGACCCCAGGUCAGGCGGGGUUACCCGCUGAAUUUAAGCAUAUCAAUAAGCGGAGGA